CCAAUCCGUAGCCACCAUAAGCGUCCUCAACUCAACAAAGCAAAAUUGCUUGCUACCAAAUUCAGUGAUCAAAUUACCCUCCGUAGAAACAUCAACUGCCCAAUAAACCACAUCCUCCUCAGCCCUUGAACCCAGAUAAACCAAACUCUCUCCUCUCAAUUCAACCCCAGAACUAGCCAACAAACUUUUACAAUCAGCUAAACUGAUCCAAGCCAGGUGCCAACUUGGCACUAAAUCACCAUCGCCACUGGAAGAGGCAAGCGGCCUACCCUUUCUAAAUGGUAAAACCUUGAAAUGAACGGACGAUAAUUGGUG
rnacentral:misc_RNA from 1 species